rfam:Triticum aestivum genome assembly, contig: Triticum_aestivum_CS42_TGACv1_scaffold_021404_1AS
AACCUACUCCCUCCGUUUUGAAUUACUUGUCGCAGGUAUGGAUGUAUCUAGAUGUAUUUUAGUUCUAGAUAUAUCCAUUUCUGCGACGAGUAAUUUAGAACGAAGGAAGUAGUUA